UACAUUUAAAUGCAACGCCCCUCAUCUGAUGCGUGCCUUGAUAGAACUUCUACCACGGACAUGCCAAUGAAGGUUUGUAGCUGUGAAGUAAUUGUUCUAAAGAAAGCCUUCUAUCAACUGCAGUCGAAUUGAAGUCGUUGAAGUCCAAAACAUUCCUCCUUGUUAAAACAACAGUGCCUCUGAUCUUCUCGGGUUUCUUUUGCCCGAGAGAAAACGAGGAAUGCUAUAUCUGGUGUUGGAUUUCGAUGUGCCCAAAAGGUUCUUCUUCACUACAACAACAUAGCCUUGAAUCUUCUUCCGCUUGACAGGGUUGUUCAAUGCCAUUGGGCCAAUUCCAAAAUUCAUCUUUUGGUUCUUUGGCUAGGGCAACCAAUAUGAAGGAUGAUAUGAAAAGUGCAUGAAUGUUGUAUUCGAGGGGUUGUUGGUUUUGUAAAGAAGAAGUGUGGGGUAUUUAUAGA